rnacentral:rRNA from 1 species
CCUACGGGAGGCAGCAGUGGGGGAUAUUGCACAAUGGGGGAAACCCUGAUGCAGCGACGCCGCUUGUGGGAAGACGGUCCUCUGGAUUGUAAACCACUGUCCCCAGGGACGAAGAUGACGGUACCUGGGGAGGAAGCUCCGGCUAACUACGUGCCAGCAGCCGCGGGAAUACGUAGGGAGCGAGCGUUGUCCGGAAUUACUGGGUGUAAAGGGAGCGUAGGCGGGACUGCAAGUUGGGUGUCAAAUCUACCGGCUCAACCGGUAGCCGCACUCAAAACUGCAGUUCUUGAGUGAAGGAGAGGCAGGCGGAAUUCCUAGUGUAGCGGUGAAAUGCGUAGAUAUUAGGAGGAACACCAGUGGAGAGGGCGGCCUGCUGGGCUUUUACUGACGCUGAGGCUCGAAAGUGUGGGGAGCAAACAGGAUUAGAUACCCCUGUAGUC